rnacentral:rRNA from 1 species
AGAGUUUUAUCCUGGCUCAGGACGAACGCUGGCGGCGUGCCUAACACAUGCAAGUCGAGCGAUGAAAGAGAAGUGGCGGUCUUCGGACCAAAGCAUUUCUGGAUUAGCGGCGGACGGGUGAGUAACACGUGAGCAACCUGCCUAUCACAUCGGGAUAGCCUCGGGGAACUGGGAUUAAUACCGAAUGCAACAUAUUGGUAACCUUAUCGAAAUGUCAAAGAUUUAUCGGUGAUAGAUGGGCUCGCGUCUGAUUAGCUAGUUGGUGAGAUAAAAGCCCACCAAGGCAAUGAUCAGUAGCCGGCCUGAGAGGGUGAUCGGCCACAUUGGGACUGAGACACGGCCCAAACUCCUACGGGAGGCAGCAGUGGGGAAUAUUGCACAAUGGAGGGAACUCUGAUGCAGCGACGCCGCGUGAGCGAAGAAGGAAUUCGUUUCGUAAAGCUCUGUCCUAUGGGAAGAUAAUGACGGUACCAUAGAAGAAAGCCCCGGCUAACUACGUGCCAGCAGCCGCGGUAAUACGUAGGGGGCGAGCGUUGUCCGGAAUUAUUGGGCGUAAAGGGUUCGUAGGCGGUAAUACAUGUCAGAUGUGAAAUCUUGUGGCUUAACCACAUCAAGCAUCUGAAACUGUAUAACUUGAGUGGAGGAGAGGUAAGUGGAAUUCCUAGUGUAGCGGUGGAAUGCGUAAAUAUUAGGAAGAAUACCAGUAGCGAAGGCGACUUACUGGCCUCUAACUGACGCUGAUGAACGAAAGCGUGGGUAGCAAACAGGAAUAAAAACCCUGUUAUUCCCCCCCCGAAAACAAUGAAUUGGCAGGGGGUCGGGGAGUCAAAUCCCCGGGGCCCGAAUUUAAAC